CAUUUGAUAAAAUUCAUGAACUGAAAAACCUUGCUUUUAUUAUCUGAUAUAUACUAUUUAGAUUGACUUUCCUCUAUAUAUGCCAUGGAUUUUACAGAUUAACCAGAGCUGUAUAAUCUUUAGCUGACCCUGAGGAGUACCCUAUCUUGUUCGAGGAUUGGCAGGUUGCUCCGUGGAAUCUAAAAUUUCGGAGACAAGGAGGUAGAAUAGAACGGAGAAGAACAUGAAGAGCAGGGAACCCAGGAAGAAGAGGUUGUUGAGGUCGAAGCUGAUUCCACAGAUAUGAGCAAUAAGUGCCACUACUUAAAGCAACAAGAAGCUAUACACUUGUUUGAGCAUGUAGGGAACUUGAUUACGAUUUCCAAAUGAACCGGGGAAACUUCAUUUUGAUAAG